rnacentral:rRNA from 1 species
AGUGAACGCUGGCGGUAGGCCUAACACAUGCAAGUCGAACGGCAGCACAGUAAGAGCUUGCUCUUACGGGUGGCGAGUGGCGGACGGGUGAGGAAUACAUCGGAAUCUACUUUUUCGUGGGGGAUAACGUAGGGAAACUUACGCUAAUACCGCAUCCGACCUACGGGUGAGAGCAGGGGAUCUUCGGACCUUGCGCGAUUGAAUGAGCCUAUGUCGGAUUAGCUAGUUGGCGGGGUAAAGGCCCACCAAGGCGACGAUCCGUAGCUGGUCUGAGAGGAUGAUCAGCGACACUGGAACUGAGACACGGUCCAGACUCCUACGGGAGGCAGCAGUGGGGAAUAUUGGACAAUGGGCGCAAGCCUGAUCCAGCCAUACCGCGUGGGUGAAGAAGGCCUUCGGGUUGUAAAGCCCUUUUGUUGGGAAAGAAAAGCAGCAGGUUAAUACCCCGCUGUUCUGACGGUACCCAAAGAAUAAGCACCGGCUAACUUCGUG